rfam:Tupaia chinensis contig179990, whole genome shotgun sequence.
GGCCUCCUGUUGCUUACCACAGGCUGUGUUUCUACACUAGCUGUAGAGAAAAAGGAGGCAAAGUAAACUUACCCCAUAUGCACCAAAACCCUAUGCCUAGUUUGCAUGGGGAAGGGAGAGAGAGAG